GACGAACGCUGGCGGCGUGCUUAACACAUGCAAGUCGAGCGGUAAGGCCCUUUCGGGGGUACACGAGCGGCGAACGGGUGAGUAACACGUGGGUGACCUGCCUCUAGCUCUGGGAUAAGCCUGGGAAACUGGGUCUAAUACCGGAUAUGACUCCACGGCGCAUGUUGUGGGGUGGAAAGCCUUGUGUGGCUAGAGAUGGGCCCGCGGCCUAUCAGCUUGUUGGUGGGGUGAUGGCCUACCAAGGCGACGACGGGUAGCCGGCCUGAGAGGGCGACCGGCCACACUGGGACUGAGACACGGCCAGACUCCUACGGGAGGCAGCAGUGGGGAAUCUUGCGCAAUGGACGAAAGCCUGACGCAGCGACGCCGCGUGAGGGAUGACGGCCUGGUGUAAC
rnacentral:rRNA from 1 species